CGGUCACGUUCGUUGCGACUAGAAACCACAAUUUCUGGUGUGCACAAAAAUAGUUUUCACCGUCAGAGGUCGCUAUGAUUUGUUAAAAAUCUUUAAAUCAGGCUUUUGGUCACUAUUUUCACAAAGGAACUAAAAAUUGGACACAAGAUUAUAUAUAAAUGAUUGGUUACCAUAUGACAUCAGAAUGGGUGUUUGAUGUACAAAUAGUACCCUUGUGAUAAUGAUUAUUUUAUCUCAAGGUAAUGUUCAUAAUGUAGGUAAAAUUUAAUAAAAUAAUGGUAACGCGAUUGGUUUUCUUUUGAACUUGAUAUUUGGAAAAAAUUAUCUAUAAUGUAUGUACUCUUAACAUAUUAAAUCAUUUUCAAAAUAUCUACAUAGCUUCAAGGAUAUAAGGCUUUUCCGAAAUUUGUGGCAUUAUUUGAAAUGCACAUGGUGGAUUUCCAUACUGGUACAUGUGUAUUUCAAUGCUGAUAAAAUGACGUUACUGAGUAUAUUAGGUAAUUUUAGGCUACGCACACGUUUGCCAGUAAUAAACGUAUAUGUUUCUUACUGCCAUAUUAAC
rnacentral:rRNA from 1 species